GGAGGGGAGCUAGCGUUGUUCGGAAUUACUGGGCGUAAAGGGCGCGUAGGCGGCCGAGUAAGUCGCGUGUGAAAGGGCCGGGGGCUCAACCCCCGAGCACUGCACGUGAUACUGCUCGGCUAGAGAAAGGUAGAGGCGAGCGGAAUUCCCGGUGUAGCGGUGGAAUGCGUAGAUAUCGGGAAGAACACCUGUGGCGAAGGCGGCUCGCUGGGCCUUUUCUGACGCUGAAGCGCGAAAGCGUGGGGAGCAAACAGGAUUAGAUACCCUGGUAGUCCACGCCGUAAACGAUGGGUACUAGGUGUUGGGAGGCUUGGCCCUCUCAGUGUCGUCGCUAACGCAUUAAGUACCCCGCCUGGGGAGUACGGUCGCAAAGGCUG
rnacentral:rRNA from 1 species